AUGCACGCUGGCGGCGUGCCUAAUACAUGCAAGUCGCGCGAACAGACGAGGAGCUUGCUCCUCUGACGUUAGCGGCGGACGGGUGAGUAACACGUGGAUAACCUACCUAUAAGACUGGGAUAACUUCGGGAAACCGGAGCUAAUACCGGAUAAUAUAUUGAACCGCAUGGUUCAAUAGUGAAAGACGGUUUUGCUGUCACUUAUAGAUGGAUCCGCGCCGCAUUAGCUAGUUGGUAAGGUAACGGCUUACCAAGGCGACGAUGCGUAGCCGACCUGAGAGGGUGAUCGGCCACACUGGAACUGAGACACGGUCCAGACUCCUACGGGAGGCAGCAGUAGGGAAUCUUCCGCAAUGGGCGAAAGCCUGACGGAGCAACGCCGCGUGAGUGAUGAAGGUCUUCGGAUCGUAAAACUCUAUUAUUAGGGAAGAACAAAUGUGUAAGUAACUAUGCACGUCUUGACGGUACCUAAUCAGAAAGCCACGGCUAACUACGUG
rnacentral:rRNA from 1 species